rnacentral:rRNA from 1 species
UGGGGAAUAUUGGACAAUGGGGGGAACCCUGAUCCAGCCAUGCCGCGUGUGUGAAGAAGGCCUUAUGGUUGCAAAGCACUUUAAGCGAGGAGGAGGGUACUGGUGUUAAUACUACCAGCUACUGGACGUUACUCGCAGAAUAAGCACCGGCUAACUCUGUGCCAGCAGCCGCGGUAAUACAGAGGGUGCGAGCGUUAAUCGGAUUUACUGGGCGUAAAGCGUGCGUAGGCGGCUAAUUGAGUCGGAUGUGAAAUCCCCGAGCUUAACUUGGGAAUUGCAUUCGAUACUGGUUAGCUAGAGUGUGGGAGAGGAUGGUAGAAUUCCAGGUGUAGCGGUGAAAUGCGUAGAGAUCUGGAGGAAUACCGAUGGCGAAGGCAGCCAUCUAGCCUAACACUGACGCUGAGGUACGAAAGCAUGGGGAGCAAACAGG